GGAUUCAGGCCCUCCUGUUUUAACUCCAGAGCACAGGGUUGUACUCACUAUGGUCGAGAUUAAAGAAAGAAGAUAGUCAAAUACUGUGGGAACCCAAAGCGGGAAGGCUUCUAUGUUGGAAGCUGGAUUUCACUACAUCCUUAGCAGCGACUCCAGUGCCCAGGAUGUGGAUAAAGUCAGACUCCAGGAUUUGCUGGUGCCAGCCCUGAGGAGCCACUAAGAAGAGG
rnacentral:lncRNA from 1 species